AUGGCGCACGGGCCUAUGCAAAGUGAUGUACCUGAUCUUCCAUCGGACGAUUCAGAAGAUAAUGACUUCGACCCCAAUAUAUCCGAAGAACAUGUGGCUUGUGAUGUAGAAGGAUCAUCAGAAGAGGAUGGGGAUGAAGGUUCGUACUCUGAUGACUCCAAUUUCAUCACCUCUUCUGACAAUUUAGAACAUGUGAAGGAUGGAGAGAAAGUUGAUGACCUUGGAUUACCUUCUGAUGACUCGGAGGAUGAUGACUAUGAUCCAGCAGGGCCAGAUUCUGAUGAAGAUAUCAAAGAGAAGCAAGAUGAGUCAGACUUCACAUCAGACUCUGAUGAUUUCUGUGCUGACAUUGCGAAGUCUUGUCAUAUGGAGGAAGUUUCAUCUGGUCGUAAGGCUGGAGAUCAUACUAAUGACUUGGAAGGGGCCCCUGUUGGACCUAACACAUCAAUGUCACAUCUCACAACCAAGGAUCUUGAGAUCGACCAGGAUGCGAUUUUACCAUCAAGGAGACGGCAGGUUAAACCGUUGGACUACAAAAAACUUUAUGAUGAUGCUUAUGGGGAAGCACCAUCUGAUUCAAGCGAUGGCGAAGACUGGUCUGGGAAGAGCACACUCAAAGAAGACAGUGAAGAAGAAAAUGAAGUGGAUUCCUUUGUACACAAAAGCUCCAGGGGAACGCGAGCUGUGCAUCGUGGUUUAGUAAAUGAUCAACACUCCAGGAGGGCUUACCCCUAA
rnacentral:rRNA from 1 species